rnacentral:rRNA from 1 species
CGGUGAUAAACCGGAGGAAGGUGGGGACGACGUCAAGUCAUCAUGGCCCUUACGAGUAGGGCUACACACGUGCUACAAUGGCGCAUACAGAGGGCGGCCAACUUGCGAAAGUGAGCGAUCCCAAAAAAGUGCGUCGUAGUCCGGAUUGGAGUCUGCAACUCGACUCCAUGAAGUCGGAAUCGCUAGUAAUCGUGGAUCAGAAUGCCACGGUGAAUACGUUCCC